AGAACGAACGCUGGCGGCAGGCUUAACACAUGCAAGUCGAACGGAUCCUUCGGGAUCAGUGGCGGACGGGUGAGUAACGCGUGGGAACCUACCCUGGGGUGGGGAAUAACCUUGGGAAACCGAGGCUAAUACCGCAUACGCCCUAUUGGGGAAAGACUAUGUUGCCCUGGGAUGGGCCCGCGUCCGAUUAGCUAGUUGGUGGGGUAAUGGCCUACCAAGGCUGCGAUCGGUAGCUGGUCUGAGAGGAUGAUCAGCCACACUGGGACUGAGACACGGCCCAGACUCCUACGGGAGGCAGCAGUGGGAAUAUUGGACAAUGGGGGCAACCCUGAUCCAGCCAUGCCGCGUGAGUGAAGAAGGCCUUAGGGUUGUAAAGCUCUUUCACCCGUGACGAUGAUGACGGUAGCGGGAGAAGAAGCCCCGGCUAAUUCCGUG
rnacentral:rRNA from 1 species